rnacentral:rRNA from 1 species
GACGAACGCUGGCGGUGUGCUUAACACAUGCAAGUCGAACGGUGACGCUCCCGCUUGCUGGUAUGGCUCAGUGGCAACCGGGUGAGUAACCCGUAAGCAUCCUGCACCUGCCUCUGGAAUAAGCGCUGCCCACGGCGUCUCAUACUAGAUACGCGUAGGGUCCGCAUUGGCCAUUUCUGGAAAGUUGUUCGGAUGGGGCUGGGCUCGCGGCCUAUCAGCUUGUUGGUGAGGUAAUGGCUCACCAAGGCGACGACGGGUAGCCGGCCUGAGAGGGCGACCGGCCACACGAGGACUGAGACACGGCACGGACUCCUAAGGGAGGCAGCAGUGGGGAAGAGUGCACGAUGGGCGAAAGCCGGAUGCAGCGACGCCGCGUGAGGGAUUACGGCCUUCGUUUAGUAAACCUCUUUCAGCAGGGAAGAAGCGAAAGUGACGGUACCGGCAGAAGAAGCACCGGCUAACUACGUG